rnacentral:rRNA from 1 species
AUUGAACGCUGGCGGCAGGCCUAACACAUGCAAGUCGAGCGAGCGGCGGACGGGGGAAUAAAGUCUGGGAAACUGCCCGCUAGAGGGGGAUAACUACUGGAAACGGUAGCUAAUACCGCACACCAUCAGAUGUGCCCAUAUGGGAUUAGCUAGUAGGUGGGGUAACGGCUCACCUAGGCGACGCUCCCUAGCUGGUCUGAGAGGAUGACCAGCCACACGGGAACUGAGACACGGUCCAGACUCCUACGGGAGGCAGCAGUGGGGAAUAUUGCACAAUGGGCGCAAGCCUGAUGCAGCCAUGCCGCGUGUGUGAAGAAGGCCUUCGGGUUGUAAAGCACUUUCAGCGGGGAGGCGUUACCCGCAGAAGAAGCACCGGCUAACUCCGUGCCAGCAGCCGCGGUAAUAC